GAGAUAACUCCUACGGGAGGCAGCAGUGGGGAAUUUUGGACAAUGGGGGCAACCCUGAUCCAGCAAUGCCGCGUGAGUGAAGUAGGCCUUCGGGUUGUAAAGCUCUUUUGUCAGGGAAGAAACGGUAGUAGCUAAUAUCUAUUACUAAUGACGGUACCUGAAGAAUAAGCACCGGCUAACUACGUGCCAGCAGCCGCGGUAAUACGUAGGGUGCAAGCGUUAAUCGGAAUUACUGGGCGUAAAGCGUGCGCAGGCGGUUGUGUAAGUCAGAUGUGUAAUCCCCGGGCCCAACCUGGAAAUUGCAUUUGAGACUGCACGGCUAGAGUGUGUCAGAGGGGGGUAGAAUUCCACGUGUAGCAGUCAAAUGCGUAGAUAUGUGGAGGAAUACCGAUGGCGAAGGCAGCCCCCUGGGAUAACACCGACGCUCAUGCACGAAAGCGUGGGGAGCAAACAGGAUUAGAAACCCUUGUAGUCCUCCACU
rnacentral:rRNA from 1 species